rnacentral:rRNA from 1 species
GACGAACGCUGGCGGCGUGCUUAACACAUGCAAGUCGAACGGGAGUAUUGAAGAAGCUUGCUUUAGAGAUACUUUAGUGGCGGACGGGUGAGUAACGCGUGAGGAGCUGUCCAAUGCAGGGGGACAACAGUUGGAAACGACUGCUAAUACCCCAUAAGCCGAGAGGUAAAAGGAUUUAUCCGGCAAUGGAGGUACUCGCGUCCUAUCAGCUAGUAGGUGAGGUAACGGCUCACCUAGGCGAAGACGGGUAGCCGGCCUGAGAGGGCGAACGGCCACACUGGAACUGAGAUACGGUCCAGACUCCUACGGGAGGCAGCAGUGGGGAAUAUUGGGCAAUGGGGGGAACCCUGACCCAGCGACGCCGCGUGGGUGAAGAAAUCCUUCGGGAUGUAAAGCCCUGUUGUAUGGGAAGAGCGGAAGACGGUACCAUACGAGGAAGCCCCGGACAAACUACGUG